GAAGCGUCCCAUGUUCGGAGCAGUCGCACGCAGUUACAAGGUACCUGUCACAAUUGGAUAAUCUCUUAACGAAGAAGGUCGAAGUGUAGAAAUAAAGGGAGAAAGAUCGAAAGAGAAGCUUCAUGAGAGUUUUCUGCGCAUACAAAACUACUGAUAAGUGAAAAUAUUUUGUAGAAAUUAAUCGAAUUUUUCUUAAAUUGCAACUCUACAACUCUGUUCGGAUCGUUCGGAAAAAGACCGAGUAGAAAGAUGUGUGGUGGUUUUACGUGCUCGAAAAGUGCGCUGACAGCACUAAAUAUACUCUAUAUCGUUGUUGCAUUUAUUUUGAUUGGUGUCGCAGUUUAUGGAAGAGCAUCAGCUUUAGUCACUAAUCUUCCUAUAAUUGGUGGAAUUUUAGCCUGUGGAGUGAUACUUAUUCUCAUUUCUAUUCUUGGGCUAAUUGGUGCUGUUAAACAUCAUCAAGUUUUAUUGUUCUUUUACAUGCUUAUCUUGUUCCUUCUAUUUUUGAUUCAAUUCAGCAUUGCUUGUGCUUGUCUUGCAGUUAAUGCUAAACAACAAGAACAACUUGCAGAACAAGGAUGGAGACGCGUUGGAGAUGAUUUAAGAGCUAAAGUAGAAGAAACCUUCCAUUGCUGUGGAUUUAAUGACACUGUUAUCGAAAAAGAUCCCUUGGCAUGCCAUGAUAAAAAUAGAACUUGCUGUCCUUUCUCUGACCGUGAAUGUACUGACCGAUGUCCACUAUGUAUGCAAAAAUUGCAAUCUACAAUUGAUUAUGCCUUCAAACUUUGUGGUAGUAUAGGAUUAUUUUUCAGUUUUACAGAGUUUGUUGGUGUUUGGUUGACCGUGCGAUACAGGAACCAGAAAGAUCCGCGAGCUAAUCCUAGUGCUUUUCUCUAGUCUAACACCAUCGCCAUGUCCUCUAUCUCCUCAUACGACCCCCCUAAUAGAUGGUGGGUGGUAUCAUAAUGUAAUCGCAGCUUUUGUAGCGAAGCAUUACAAAAAUCAGCUAGAUCCGCAACAGAAAGCUGCAAGAGCUGCAUUUCCCCAACUAAAUUAUCUUUACUAAUAUGACUCACAAAAAUUUAAUUUACGUGCACUUUUAUUUUCUUCGUAGAAAAGUGAUGCUAGAUCCACGAAUAUUGGAUCUUGCUUUAUAUCCGUAAUCAAUAGAAAAUAUAUGAUUAUCACCUAAGAGCCAGAGAACAAAUUUUUAUGUAUCUGUUUAAGGAUGAGAUAAAAGUAUCAUUUCUAGUUCAUAAUACUCGAAAGAAUUCUACAAUAUUAUAAUAUGAGAAUGAACAAUUUUACAAAAUUACAUCUAUAAAAUAUGUUGUAAUCAUUUACACAAAAUGCUCAAUACAAGCUUUAACACACUGUGUGGCUUAAUGUUGGAUA